rnacentral:tRNA from 8 species
GCAUCCGUAGCUCAGCUGGAUAGAGUACUCGGCUACGAACCGAGCGGUCGGAGGUUCGAAUCCUCCCGGAUGUACCA